UCAAGCCCCGCAUCGGGUUCUGUGCUGACAGCUCAGAGCCUGGAGCCUGCUUCAGAUUCUGUGUCUCCCUCUCCCCCUCCUCCCUUCUUGCUCUCUUUCUCUCUCUCUCUCUCUCCCCCUCAAAAUAAAUAAAUAAACACUUAAAACUAACUUCACAAAAGCAGGGAAAUAUAAAGAAAAGCAAGUCAUCGGAGGAAGAGGAAGGAGGAAGAGGCGGCCUCCGCAGUUAUGAAAAUCAACCUGAUGCCUGUCUAUCUUAUUUGCCAUUCCUGUCUCCAGCCACUGGACAAACAUUUAGGGAGUGGGGACUGUGGCCCAGGUCCCACCCAAGGCCCUGGUGAGGCAGCUCUGAGUGAGUCGAAGACCCUCUCCUCAUGGAGCUUGCAGCCCAGGGCAGAAGGGUUAGGUAACGAGCAAGUUCACAGUGAAAUGCCUGAGAUAAUUGCCGUCAGUGCUCAGUGCUGGGGGGUGGGGGAGGGGAGAGGAGAAGUCAGGAUAAUUAUCAUGGGGCCGCCAUCCCAUUUCCAUAAAUCCCCAAGGCUGCCCUUGUGUGGCUCCCCUGCCCUUCCAAGCUGCCCUUGACACCCGUGUCCCGCCCAGCUCUCGCCCACACGGGUGUCUGGGGGAGGCCGGAGGGCAACCCAGGCCUGGUUGUCAGGGGACAGAGUGCAAAGCCAGCUGGCAGGCCUGCCCUCUGCUCCCCGGAGGCUGUGGCCCUGGCUGUGCCCGCCACGCUGUGCCCUGACGGCCCUGGCCAGGCCAGCUCAGUCCCUCCCACGCUUCCCUCACCCUCACCCCACCAGGGGCCAGGCCCCUUCACUCGGCAGGAAGCACCGGCCUCACAUGACUGUCAUUUGCGCGGUGUCGAGGAGGGAGACGUAGGAGGCUCGGGUUGCCUGUGACAACGGCAGACUUGCUCACCCAGUUCCCUGGUGAUGAUGGUCAUUAGGGUUCCUCUCAAUGGGCUGUCCCCACCCACGGCCCUCCCAUCAAGCAAAGCUCAUCUUAGGUACACCCCAGGGACAACCUCUCGUCUGCCUCCCUGCCACUCGCCCAGCGGAGCUCUGAUGCAGGGAAGCAAACCACCACAUCUGGGAGGUUCCGGUGGCUCCCCGCCCCUUGCACGCUGACCUUCCAAGGCUCUGAUGUCCUACUCUCUGGAUGCUGACGGUGAAUUACUAUUGCAAUAAACCAGCUGCUUCCCAGCGAUCGCAACAUUGGAGCCCUGGCCGCGUUCUCAGACACUCACGGGCACGUGAGUCACCAGGGAUCUUGAGAAUACGCAUUAAAAAUCUGCAGUGUGUGCCAAGGAUCCUUCCAGUGGCCGGACAAACAAGGCUUGGAGAGCUCGUGCCCACGCAGAUGAGGGGACCCGAUCCUUACGAUGCAGGGUGAUGGAUGCCCCUGGCGGACCACAAAGGAGCGGACCGUCACGCUGCAUCCUGCCAGCUGCGGGACACUGAGCAACUCACCGCACCUCUCUGAUCCUCAGCGGCCUCGUCUGUGAAAUGGGCACAGCAACUUCACUCUCCUGCACUGUUGUGGUUGUAAACUGAAAUCAUCGAAGCGACAGGUCUGCAGGAAAUGUCGAUUCAUCCACUCACGGCCUCUCUACCACACUGGGCGGAAGAGAAGGUGCACGGCGAUGGGAAGAAGUUGAAUCAAAGAAAGAGUAAUAACUUUGUUUUUCCCUUUAGAAGGAAAGCAGGCGUUCUUAUUAAACAGGUUUUGGGGUGCCUGAGUGGCUCAGUCCGUUAAGCAUCUGACUUCAGCUCAGGUCACGAUCUCUUGGUUUGCGAGUUCGAGCCCCGCCUUGGGCUCUGUGCUGUCAGCUGGGAGCCUGGAGCCUGCUUCGGAUUCUGUGUCUCCCCCCUCUCCCUUCCCCUCCCCCCCUCGCUCUCAGUCUCUCUCUCUCUUUCUC